CGUCCUCUCCCCCCCGCCCCGCCUCCCCGCCCCGCAAGCUGCGCUCUGGGCUGGGAGUGCGCAGAGGAGAGAGGCUGCGGGCCGGCGGAGCCUUUUCUUUGUACUUUUCGGAGCACAUGCAGGUUAAAACAUGGUUGUCAGGAAGAUGGGAUGGUUGUCAAAACAUCAGUCUGUGAUGGGUGCCAUAUUGCAUUAUUCUUUGGAUGGUGGAAUGCAAUUUAGGAUUCUGCAGGGGUGGUUAACAUGGUACAAACUGUACUGUGCAGCUGCUGAACACCUUAACCAUUUGGAUUUGUACAUAACUUAAUGGGCUCCUGGAAGAAGUGGAAGAGCUUCCUGCAGAAACUCGAGGAUAUUGUGGAAAAUGCUACUGUGACCCAUUUGGAUUAUAUCGCCACCUGACAUGAAGGUUCUGCAGUUGAUGAAAGCAUUUAGGUCUUCACCAGAUCUUUCUGUUACGUGGUUGCUGAAGCAUUAUCCUGGGACAGCAGUAAUGAUCGAUGAACAUGCUCCAGGCUUGAGUCACAGAGCAGCAUGAGGAUUUACACUUCUGAAGCAUGAAUGUGAACAGGAUUGAAGGAUUUACAAGAAGGAUUCUGAUUUCCCUUCCUUCCUGCUCCAGAAAAGACAGGGGCCUGCUCUCAGACCUUGGGGUGUGAUCCACAUGUGCUACUGAAGCUGACUCGAAUGAUAUGACAAAUGUAAUGUCUUUAAGGAGAUGCAGACAGAUCACUCUCUACCAGCUGUCAAGGCAAAUAUUGCUGUGUGGUCCUUGCUCUCAGCAACAUCCUCAGUGUUCGUGUGAUGAGCUGCCUUGGAAAGACUAUGCAUAACAAGCUUCCUACUACCUCUGCACUUGGGGCUUUCUGUGCUAGGCCAAAAGCUGGGAGCAGGAAGCGGCUGCACCCUGACGGCUGUCAUUUCCCCUGCGCCCGACUCCUGUUUACUGCCAGCUGCUUUCUUACAGACACAUUGCCCAAGCUUUGAUAUAACCGGGCCCGUCGCUGACUCAGAGCUAGUAAACUCUCUGUGGCUAUCUGCUCAUUUCUGCUGUUCUUCACAAACAACAAGAACUGGAGUACAUUCAUUUGAUUCCUGGUGCCGAUUCAAGCAUUCCCCUUUCAUGAAUGUCAAAGCGGAUGUCCUAUGGAGAAAGGAGCUGCUCCUGAAAAACGUUUUCAAUAAGGCACAAGAGCAUGUGGCCUGAGAGGUGAUGUAGAGAAGUUAGUACUGGAAUGUUUGUAUGAGCAGCAAAAGUGUCUGUACAGUAUGAAAUUGCAUGUGGAUGCAAUUAGAUCAUAUUGACAGUUGCAAUGGUGAGUAUGCAAAUAAUACCAUGAUAUUCCUCCAUCCAACUUCCUGUGUGGGGAGAAGUAGAGAUGGAAAAUGGAGUAGUGUUGUAAAGAGUUACUGAGCCAUUUAUUUUUCUAAUGCAAAAUAGGGUAAAGCAAGGUUUGUCUGUGGGAUGUUCUCUUAGUUUAGGAGAGUCGGUAGUCAGCCGCAUGGCUGAAGCAUGCAGGUGUGUAUUUUUUUCAGGGCAGAUUUGGUGCAUUUCAUAUGCAGGAUUGACCAUUGCAAAUCUAGUAUCCUGGCUAAAACCAGUUUCAGUCAGUGCCCUGCAUUCCCAUGUGAUUAUGCUGGUGUGCUUAUUUUUUGUUACCUUUUGAAUAGAUAAUUUAAAAUUGCUCUCUGUAGGGACGUUCUCUGCGUCUGUCUGCCUAUCAAUCUUUCUAUCUGAAUGCAGAAGUAUUUGAUUAGUGUAUUUAAAGUAAUAAAGAUGUCAACAGUAGUGUCACAUUGAUUGAUGUUAAUUAUAAGUCUUUAAUGGCUCCUCUGGUUUGGCCACUCUCCUUGCAGAUUGUGAUUUUAUGGUUAAAAUAAUGCCCUGCUGUCCACAGACUCGGUCAUAAAUUGUGGUCUAUCUUUCUUUAAUGACUCUGCAUGCAGUGGUAUAAUCCCAAUAACAUACAUUAUCUUCGGUAAAAGGAAGGCAGUGACUUUCAUAGAGGUGAUGGAUGGAUUUAUAAGGACUAGCUAACAGACUGGCUGGGUUAACACCAGAGGCAAGGCUGAUUGUUCUGCUUGUGCAUUGCCAUAAGGAGAAAUAUUAGGCAGGCAGUCUUGGAAAACUGAUGAUUUUCAUUCAGUCCCUCUCUUUCCACUCCAUACCAUUAGUAAAAGUUAAAGAAAAUGCUGAGGUGUGGAUCACAGUCUCCUAUCAAAAGGCUAACUGCUUAGUAAGAUGUAAAAAAUCUUCUGUAGAUGUCUGCCAGCUAUAGUGAACAAAAAGCAAUGAAGAUUCUUGCUUUGUGGCCAUGCUCUUGAAAGUGCAUAAUGAAUGGUCAAUGAAUGCACGUUCACCUUACAAAAGUGCAUCGCUACCAUGAGGAAAAUGCUACAUCUCUGAGAGAGGUCUCACCAUUUCGGAGGGAGUUUAAUCAUUUUAUGUGAAUGGAGACGACACAGGGAAGUGCACAGGGAUGCACACAUACAUAUGGAUGUGUAUCAAGUUAUACAUGUCUGUUUUUAAGUAGCAUUGCUACAGCAAUUCUGUAACACCACCUUAUUGCUUCUAUAUUCAUAACGGGCACCGUGGAGCUCCAGCACAGCAUGGAGAAUCCCAUUAACGCUGUGUGCAUACAGGCAGGGGCACAGAGAUGCUUCCAAAUGGGUCUGUGCCCUACAGGGGGGUCUGUAAUGUAACUGGUGAAUCUGGCUAAAAAGCAGGAUGUUUCCUUGGAGCUAAAAAGUUAGGAACAGAAGUUAAUUUGGAAAAGAUACAGUUACAAAAAGUGGUUUCUUGGCACCCUAAGCCUGGCAUUUACUGCUCAGUGGCUCACUAUGGUUGUGCUGUGGUGCACAAUUGACAGCGAUGAAGUCCAAGGAAAUUACUCUGGGGGGGUGACAGUUGUUGGGCAGUGGGGUUGUCGUCCAGUUUUGUUGUUGUCAAUAGAGUAAGAUGGGGCUCACUUUGCUCAUGUGAAUGUUUUGGGUUAGUUUUGUUUUGGGGUGGUGGUGUUUGUUGUUGUUUGUUGGGUUUCUUUUUCUUGGUUGGUUGGUUUGGUUUGUCUUUAAAAAAAAAAAUCUUUAAUUAAUCCAAAUUUUUUUCUUCUGCUGCGUGUGCUGGAGUUGGGCUGUGCCUCCACGUGAAGCUGUACCAAGGCCUGGGAAGGGCUGAGUUCCCUCUGUCCCAGCCCCUGACUCUUCAACUGCUCCUGUCCCACACCCAGCUCAUUCACAGCAGUGGCAUAAAGCUGCACUGUUUGGAAGAAGCGAGACUGUCUUGCCUUACAUCUACGACGCUGCACCGCUCUUGACACAGCCUGCAUUUCUCCCCAUUUACCUGGGCGGCUGCUGCUGCUGUUUCUGCUGCUGCUGGGGCUGCUGCAGUCUCACUGCGUGCACUUCAGCUCGGCUUGGCUGACUCAAAACUCACUCGUCUGCACAUUUGCUAAGGAAGAAGAGCGAUGGAGCCGCAUUUUUUCUGUUGGUUCUGGAAGUGAAGGGUUGCGAUGUGUGUUGAUUUUGGGGUUUUCUUUGAGGGAGGAAGAGGGAGGAGAAAGGAGGUGUUAAUUUAGGAUGGGGUGGGUGAAAGCUUAAAGAAAUAUUAUGUGAAGUAAUCCAGUGCUCGACAGGGGCAUCAGCAGCAAGAAUCCAGCCUCUGCUGCUCCAGAGGAUUAACAUGGGGAAGCCACAGUGCUGCAGUCGGGUCUCACCUCAGCGUUGUGCUGCAGAUGGAUAAAUAAGGAAGGAUGCAGCCUUCUGUUGGCUUUCUGCUUGCCCACCACCUUGCUGAAUUCCGUCCUUCUUGGUACUUCUCACACCAUUGCUACUCUGUGGAUGAAUGCUUAUGCAGUUCUAAAGAUGAAGUGAGCCUUAACACCUGGAAAUAGUGUUUUCUAGAGUCAUAUAGAUACACGGACAGAUGGAUUGCUUCUCCAGUGGAUGUCUUGUCUUCAGAGCUGUUGUCUUGGAAACAGUCCUUGGUAUUUCCAGUAAUAUUUCCCCCUUUUCUAUAUAUAUAUUGUAUUUGUAAGACAUUGCCCAGCUACAGAAUGGCCAGUUUCUAAGCACUCAGCUACGUUGUAGGCCUCUCGAGCUGCAGGGAAAUGGAUUUUCAACAUUUGCAAAAUUUUGCUAAAUUAUUAAACAAAAACCACAACAAAACAACAAACAAACAAACCCAACCAAACAAAGGAAUUCCCAUGCAAACAAAAGCAAACCCACAAACAAAAGCACUCUCAGCUCUCACUACCUUUCAGUAUGAGAACCAAAGCUAAAUUCUUAUACCAUGAGAUAUUUCACAUUUCUUUCUUGUAGGUUGCAUUUUCAUAGGAAGAGGGAAAGGCAUGAAAGAGAGGUGUCAGUCUCUGAAUAACAAGUCCUCUCUUUCCUAUGUAAAAGUUCUUCAAGAAUCAAACACAUAUAUUUUACCAAAUCAGUAUGAAGCAGAAAUUAAAACUGCAAUGCAGCUCUGUGGAAUAUUAAGAACGACUGCCUUUUUUUUAUUUUUUUUUUAAUAGCAUGUUAGAAGUGGGGGAAAAAAAAAAAAAAAGACUUUACAUACUAACGUUAGGACUGAUCCAUCUGUUGCUUGGCAGUGUCAAAACCCGUUACCAAACAAUUACUCCCAGUAUAAUUUGCUUCUUCAUGGUAAAAUGGAUAUAUACCUUCUCGUUAAUUUUUUAUAAGAAAAAAUAUAUUUAUACCUUUUCAUAUAUAUUUUAAGGUAUGAGACAAGGUCUUACUCACAUUAACCCUUACUUUUGUGUCCAAUCCCAUCUUUCUUAAAUCACCUCACAGCAUUGAGGGGAAAACUGCGUAUAUGACUGAGAGUUUGGAGGCUUGGAGAUGUUAGCAAAAAUCAGACAUUUAAACAUUGUGCAUUAAUAAAAUAGAAUGAAAAUAAGUGUCAGCUGCAAGCCAGCCCCACUCACACACCAGUACAACAAAGUAAGACAGAGAGGACAGCAGUGACUACGAUGAUGUAGAGCAAAAUGUUGUGGCUUCAUACUACAUUUUGUCUCCAAGCAGCCAUUCGAUAACACUGUCAUCCAGGUACACAGUUGUUCCUUUCAGUACAUCACCAUAGCAUGAUCUGCUAUGCUUUAGAAGCAGUUCUUUUGUGAUAUAUUUGUCCACUUCUUUAUGUUCUAUUUUGUGUCAAUGAGAACAUUUUAUACAGAUUCAUCAGGGAAAGGACUUUUUUUUUUUUUUGGAUGGGGAGGUUGUCCAGGACUAUUUAUGUUCACAGUAACAGGACUUCUAGGCUUGUGUCUGCAGGAGAUGAACUGCAUUUUGUAUCACUGUCUUCACCUCCACAUUUGGGAUUAUCUUCACCUUCCUCUGCUAUUGUCCCCAAGGCACGUGUUAUUUCAUAUACACAUACAUUCUGUCAUGUCUCAUUCUUUGAAUAAAAAACAUGUUUGGAAGAUGGGAAAUAAGGGAUGGAUUGAAUUCUGUAGAUAUGCACAGAGGAGGCAGAUUUCCUUCUUCCCACAUCUAGGUGGUAUUUGUGGGAAACAUCUGCCUUGAUAUUUUCCAUCUUACUUUUGUGGAAACCAAAUGGGACUUUGUGCAACUCUGUGUUUAUACAUCACUUCUUGUAUGCAAUACCACAUUUGUCUCCAGCUUUAUGGGAGGAGGUUCUAUUUACCACAGCAGGCAUAGCAUGGAUUCAGCAACAGGACACCAUGAAGCAGCUCAGAUGGACUUCAGCUGGAUACUCCAAAAUCAGCAGCACCACAAAAGGUGGGACUUUGGCUCCAAAACUCCUCUGGCUUCUCUCUGGGGGCAACGGGGUGAGAAUUUGCUACUCUUGAAAAAUUUGAAUGAAUCUCAGAGCACAGUGCUUUUCCUUCCUGUCCUCUAUUUGGAAAAGGCCAUGAUACACUUCCAAUUAAAUGAGUGCAUAUCAGUAUUUUCAUACAAAGACAUUUCUAAAAGACACGUUUUUACCAUUUGCCUUACUGGCUAGGAAAUUUUUUCAAAAUCUAUUAGCAAUGAUACAGACAGAUUUAGAGUCAAGAACUGAAUUUUCACAACUUGAACCUUGAAUAUGUUGAUUAAAAUUUAUUCCAAUAUAAAAGAUCUCUGCAAGGACCUACCCUCAAGGGAUGUGUUUUUUACAUGAAUGUCAUGUACCUAUGCUGAUAUUCUUUGGGGAAUAGAUAUAGCAUUGACUGAUUGUACCAUGUUAAAUUAGCCAUUCCACUGAAAUAAAUAGGAGUAUCCAUGCAAGGAAGGAAUGUAGGUCUGAGCCUUUGAUUCCUGUAGCAUACUUCUUUAACCAAAGCAAAAUAUUACUCUGUGUUUGGAUUAUGUUCAGUUGCAGCUGAGAGAUGAUUGUUUGUCUUUCAGAUUCCAUUCACAUGACCAUCUUUUCAUAACUAAUAUAUGAUAAUUUAUACUACAUACUCUCAGGACUAUGUCAUGUGAAAAGUAAUAUUUAGAUAGCCAAAUAUCUGACACAAAAAGUAUACGACUAUCACACACACACAUGCUUAAAAGUCCAAGAAAUCACAUCUCCCAAGUUGCUCAUAUCUUUCCCUUUCACUGUUUGUGUUGGUUUCCUUUCAGUAAAUACAACUGCAGAUCUUUGGCCUGUGCCACGUGUCAAAUAAGGAUAAGAACCCUCUACAUGAAAGUCAGUUUAUAAAUGUAAAUGGAGCAGAUAUUUAAAUCUUAGCAGUUUCCCUAUAUAUCUACUAGAUUAUGGAGGUGUACGUGCAGGGGUUACUUUUACAUGCAAAAACCCAUUUAUGAUGAUUAAAAAGAAUUGUGUGUAGAAAAUAUGUUUAGAGAAUGGACUUUGGCAUGUAAAGAGUUUGUCAGAAUAAUUGAUGGAAUGAAUAUUGAAUACCUCUUCUGAGGAGACAAAAAUACAGAACAGUUUAAAAUCACUAAAAAAGAGCAGAUAGCAAAAUAUUUAUAUAUUUUUCUCCUUACAAUGUUUUACUAGAUUCUGAUUAUCUCGUUUGGUGCACUGUCUUAAAUCCAAUGUAAUGAUAGGAAAGCAUGACUUCUUUUUUUUUUUUUUAAAUUACUUUGCAGUUGCUGGGGAAAUUGUAAAUAGCUAGAGUUUAGAUUUGGAAGUAUCUAAUUGCUCCAUUUUCAUCUGAAUUAACAUAUAAUACCAUCUUUAAUUCUGUAUUUAUCACAGGAAAUUUUUUGCUUGAAAGAUAUACUUCUGGGAAUAUGUUAAUUGUCCUGUGCCACAAUAUCACUUCUGAAAGGAAUAAAUCUUAAAUACUAGUGCUCAGUAGGACUGUUCUUCAUCUUUGCUAUAAUAAUAAAUACUGAAUGUCAGACCUUUUCAGAGAUCCAAAUUGGAAAUGUCUUUUAUCUUACUAAAAUGAGUGGAAGAACCACACAUGUAUGUAUGAAAGCAGAGAAUUUUUACCCCAAACAUGCCUUGCAAAGAUAAUUGGAAAGGAUUAAUUUACUGCAUGUGGCUUUGAGGGAGAUGAAUAUUCUGGUGUGCUCCAAGGGAAUAAAGAGUUCAUAAUUCUUUACUUUUGCUGGUGCAGAAUUGUCUGCAAAGUUUGCAGUGCUCAAGUAGUUUUAGAUGUACCGGUCCUUGAAGAAGUUAUCCAAAACAAAACCUCAGGAUUUCGCUGUUUGAAGCUUAUUCAUAUUGCCACAGCCUUUUAAUAUGAAAUUUUGAAUAUUGAAAGUAUUUUGUCCCUUUGUUUUUAAUAUUUGUGCAACAGAAUUUCUUGCAAAUGCUAAAGUGGAAUAAUUUAUACAUGUAUACUUUUCCAUGUAUGUUUACACCAAGAUUUAGAAACCUGUGUCAUUAGAAUUAGCCCAUGUUAAGGUUGGUUCAGAUGUGUGCUAGGGAGUACAGUUUGACUCAGAGAGGCUCAGACUGAAAGAUUUUUUUCUGUCCUGGGUGGAAAGCUGGUUAAUUGAGCUCUUGUACUAUUCAUCUGCUUCCAUAGUUUUACCUGAGUUGCAUUUUCCUUGCUUAGCUGCCCCCUUCUUAUGCAAAGUGUCUGGCUCAGCAUUCUAACUUUGACCUAUUUGACCAUGCCCAUUUCCUUUCUGCUGUGUGGCAGUUCAAUAAAGGCACUGUGCAAGCAAUCACCUCUUUAGCAUAUUGCCAGACAGACAGAAGCUGACAUGAACCUUCUAGGAAAGCUGAGAUGUGGAGUAAUAUCCAAAUUCACCUGAAGUCAGCAGUUAUAAGGUGUUAUCUCUGAAAAGCAGAGGGGAUUGAGUGGAUACGCUUUGAAAGAAUUAAUGGGAUAUCCACUUUAAUGCUCUCCUAAGAACGAAGGCAUGUUUUGCAGAAAUCCUGUCCAGAAUGUGUGCUAGCGCAGCGGCAUUUGGGUCAACCGGACCUCCUGUGAGGUGAGACUCUACAAAGUCUCUGUGGUUUGCUGUUGAUGUCUCUGGGCUAGUCCCCUGUCAACAAAGAGGUUCUCUAGAAACAAAACCUCAAGGAGCUGUAUUUACGCAUCUAAGGAAGGAGUCCCAGAAUCCCAUUAGGAAACUGUUCAGCUGUAGGACUGCAAAAGUGUCCAAUGGUAUGGGAACUUAUACUGCACUGGUUGGUACCAAGGUACCAGCACUCAGCUUUUAUAGACGCAGAUCAGAAGUCUGCAUUUCUCCCUUCAUCAUAGCUGCAUGGGAAUCUGCUUGAAUUCAGAGAGUAUGUUGUUUAUUAGCUGGUAUAGUGAGGCAUAGAGUCAGCCUCGGCUGCAAACUUGAGAAACCAUGAAAUAGAUUAGCUUUAUACAAUUUUGUGAGGCAGUGUAAAAAAAAUACAGUGACAGCUAUCCAAGUGUGGCUAUAGAGUGGCAAUAAGGCUGCAGAAUAAAGUCUGUCCACCUCUGAAACACCUACAAAACAUCAGCAGGUGAUUUAUAGUGUUCUUCAGGGGUAAAAGAUAGUUGGGAUAGGAUCUACAAUGCUUAUUGCUAUCAUCUGAAAGAUGUUUACUCUGUUUUAGUUUUGCAGAUGUCUUAUCAGUCAAUGGAUCUGUGUAUUGCACAGCACUGUCUUGAGCUUAAAGCUCAAGAAUGAAAAACGUAUAUUUUCACUCAUUUGCACACAGAAGGUUGUUCAGCAGUUAAUUUUGAGGAAAUAUUGGUAACUGUGCAGAAAACCUUAGGUGAUGCAGAGCUUACACUCAUUUACAAAAAUGGUUUCACAGAGGAUGAGAAACACCUCAAAUCCUCAGAAAUCAAAGUAACCAAGCACAGAUGGUCAGGUACCAGGCCCGUGAAUUACUGUGCCAUCAGCAAGUCAGACCAUUCUGUGGAAAACUGAGUGCUGCCUCUUGUUCAAAGCAGGGGAUACAUCUGUUUCUUUGCUCCUGAGGUGGCUCCUGGUUUUCUCCUCCUACUGUGACUUUCUGAUUCUGGAUCUCCUACGUUUCCAUGUUUGUCAGCAAUGCGCAUGAGCAAAGUGGUAUUUUCAUAUUUCAGUGCAGUCCAGGCCCCUUAAAGAAGAGGGUUGCAAGUGUGAAAGAGAGAUAUGUUGCUCCCUAAUGGCUUAUUACCAUCCUAUUUGCAAUUCAGAUCAGUUCUAAAUUGACUGAAAUUUUUAAACACAUAGCAGGCAGUUUAAACUAAUGAUUGUCUGGAGGUUCACAUCUGACAUGAACUAAGCUUCUGUUCAAAACAAAUUGCAAAUAAUUCCUCCCUUAGAGUCAAAAUGUCACUUUUUACACUGCACAUUGUUGCCAGAUUUUGUCAGUUACAUUAAAAAAAAAAAAUGAACACAAAAACCACAGGAAAACCUGCUACCCACUGAAUGUUCUGAAUUCGAAAGCGGAGCAACACUGUGGUUAUUUCGCCCCCUCCCUCCUUAUUUACAACAAUGUAUGUGUGCGCCUGGCUCUCUGUAGCCUGGUCAAAAAUCCUUCCCCCCCCAGCUCCCCGACCCCCCCCCAGCCUGCGCUGAAGGCCCCGGGGGCAGCGGGAGGCCCAAGUUGCCUAGCAACCACCAGCAGGCCGUGGGGCCGCCUGGGCCGCCAGCCUCUCCCCAUUGCUGCCGAGUUAAUUGCUAACUCUCCUUCAUGCCUCCAAACCAGGCAUUUCGCCUUGGUCCCCCUUCUUGCCGCUAACUUGCCCAGGCCUACACAGCCAUGGUCCUGAAAGUAAGGAUCUUGAGGGUGGCUGUGGCGUGUUGGAAGGACAACAAGAUGUAGUAAAAUGGGCUUAAUCCUUCAUUGUUUCCAUUUUUCAGCACCCUACCUACUUGUAAUAGCUGCUUAAAGAAGCAAUUCAGCGUUUGGGUUCAAUUCCAUCAGGAUUUUAAAGUCCAUAGAUUUGAUGAUGAUAAAAAGGGCAGCUCUUUAAAAACACCCAGUGGAGUGGAAAGUGCAUGUUUAAUAUGUUAUUGAAAUUGGGUUUCCCUUGAAAGAAAUAACCCAUCUGAGUGGACUCACUGGAGAAAUCUUGCUAACUUACAACCACUGAUAACUAGUUGUGAACAGGGAGGUGUUCACUAAUUUCUAAAGGGAAUGAGUUUACAUAGAGAGAGAGAAAAAAAAAAUCCAGUUUCCUCUAGUGUAAGCUCUGCAUAUUUCUGCUUUGUAGGUGCUGGCCACAGGGAGAAGUGUUGGGAAAGUCUUUCUUUUUUACACACGGUGUUAUUGGAUCAGGUAUCUUUGUUAGAUGUUACUUGAAAGUUUGUGUUACUUAACUGACUUGUGGCUAUCUCUGGACUCCAAAUAAAAGAUUGUUUUUCAAAACUUAUCACAAAAAA